rnacentral:rRNA from 1 species
GAUGAACGCUGGCGGCGUGCCUAAUACAUGCAAGUCGAGCGAACAGACGAGGAGCUUGCUCCUCUGACGUUAGCGGCGGACGGGUGAGUAACACGUGGAUAACCUACCUAUAAGACUGGGAUAACUUCGGGAAACCGGAGCUAAUACCGGAUAAUAUAUUGAACCGCAUGGUUCAAUAGUGAAAGACGGUUUUGCUGUCACUUAUAGAUGGAUCCGCGCCGCAUUAGCUAGUUGGUAAGGUAACGGCUUACCAAGGCAACGAUGCGUAGCCGACCUGAGAGGGUGAUCGGCCACACUGGAACUGAGACACGGUCCAGACUCCUACGGGAGGCAGCAGUAGGGAAUCUUCCGCAAUGGGCGAAAGCCUGACGGAGCAACGCCGCGUGAGUGAUGAAGGUCUUCGGAUCGUAAAACUCUGUUAUUAGGGAAGAACAAAUGUGUAAGUAACUAUGCACAUCUUGACGGUACCUAAGCAGAAAGCCACGGCUAACUACGU